CAGAUUGCAAUCUUAGUUUCUUGCUUGUUCUUCGUUUGCUCGCAGGAAACAGACCCUCGUGGUCAGGUUGAUCGUGCUCCGGCGUGGUCAAUAACCUCUCGGAGUUGGUUUAGCGAUUGCUAAGGCGCGACGUCCUCGCACGUUCGUAGUCGGAUCGUCAAAGUCGACCUCCACCAAAGCGAAAUCCACCAUCUCAUCGAAAGACGGGACACCUUUGCCUCUAUCAAGUGGUAUCAGAUUUCCAGGUUGCUCGGUGAGAUUUUACAGUUUUUCGUAGUUUAGAUCGAGUCUGUUCUUCAUACCUACAGUCCACGAAAAAGCCACAAAAAAAAUUAGGGUUAGUUCAUCAUAUCCGAACCAAUCUGAGCCUUUGCAUAAUCUUUUUAGGGUUUUGCUUUGUUGAAUUUGCGGUUGCAUCGUCGUGUCUAGUUGCUGGUCUUAGAGUCUAGUCUUUUAGAGUUUCGAGUUCUGGUCAUAAGUUGUCACGCCGCCGCCGCACCAUCAUCAUCGCCCCUGCCAUCUACCACCACCGCUCCGAAUCCGUAUCCAUAUACCACCACCAAUCCGUGUCCAUAUACCACCACCGAUCCAUAUCCAUAUACUACCACCACCGCUGCCAUAUACCACCACCAUAUAUCCACCACCAAUCCGAGUUCCUUGAUUAUUAGGGUUGUUUUCGAGAUCCAUCUAGUUUUCGAUUCGUGUUUCCUUGCCGGAGUAGGUUUCGGAAAAAAAAAAAGAGUCGGGUAGCCACGCUCCGUUUAGGCCCAAAAUUUUUCGAAAACGCAUUUUUCGAAAAAAUUUCUGGCUAUCCUAUUUUUAGGUGUUUCUGAGUGUUUUGAGACAGGUGCCAUUAUAGGAAGUUUUUUUUGACCCGUUUCCAGUUUUUGGGUCCGGGCAGUCAAAAAAAAAAAAAAUUGGUCGAAAAAAUUUCGUGCCCAUCCUGUCAGUUUGAGCUAAGAAGAGUUUUGAGACACUCGCCAUUAUAGUGAUUUUUCGCAAAAAAAAAAGCAGCGCAAAAAAAAGCAGCGCAAAAAAAAAGAGCGAAAAAAAAAUUCAGAGUGUGCUUUUCCCUUGUUUACGUGCCGCGCCGUGAUUUUGUUGGUGUUCUAGGCUCGCGUCUCUAGCACAGUCUAGCCUAGGACCAGCACAGUACCGUCGUUGAGCGUUUAUUCAACUUUGCAUCUCUGAAUUGAUUAUUGCUGACCCUUUUUGCUACCAUACUAUAAGCCUUCCCAGCUCCACAUACAUCUACGUCGUGUGUUCGACUCUCCCUGGUAAUCGCUCUAUCCAAGCUUUGAGAGUUUUUUGACUACAACGGUUGCCGAUCACCGCCUGCUGCUGGGUAAGAACUGGUAAGAAUUUGAGAUUUGCUUGACGGAUUUGUGAUACACCACCACCACUUCUUAGUAGUCUGUAGGAUCAUAUUCUUGUGUGUUUCUAUUGCUGCUAACCAUGCCAGGAUCACAAGCCGACGAGAUUGACUGGGAGAAUUUAUCGAACAAGGAGCUUCAUGAUAAGUUUCAGCAAAUGAUGACUGAACAGGUGCAAGAUGUGCUGAACAAUUUUGAAGAGGCCAUGGAGAAGAUCACUGGCCUUGAGAAGACGUUCGAAACAAAGCUCGAUAACAGAUUUAAUGAAUUGCUCGCGCGUCUUCCACCACCACCACCCGAUGCACCUAACGCACCUCUCCAACAACAACAACAACGACUACCUCCACGUCGCGAAAUAGACCUUCGCCGAGCGAGCCGUGUUCCUCUUGCGUUUGGCCAAACUGUUGGUGCUGCUGUUGAUACUUCUGUGGCUCCUGCUACUGCUGUUGCUGGUACCCAGGAGGAUGAUGAGUAUGCGGGCGAUUAUGAGGAUGAGGUUGAUCAAAAUCAGAUCUACGAGCAGCCACCAACACCACCACCAGCAGGUCGACCUCAGGUAUAUAUUCGUAAUGGUAGGCCUGCACCACCACCUCAGGUACGAGAUGAUGUCCAUAUUCCUAAACUGAAAUUGAAUAUUCCACCAUUUGAGGGUAGAUAUGUUCCUGAUAUAUAUCUUACUUGGGAGUUAGAAACUGAACAAACUGAAGUACUACUUGUCACCCCCAAACUGAUGGACAAACUGAAGUAGUCAAUAGAACGUUGUCUACUAUGCUUAGGGCUGUUUUGAAGAAUAAUAAGAAAAUGUGGGAGGAAUGCUUGCCUCAUAUUGAAUUUGCUUAUAAUCGUUCAUUGCAUUCUACUACUAAGAUGUGCCCUUUUGAAGUUGUGUAUGGUUUCCUACCUCGUGCACCUAUUGAUUUGUUGCCUCUUCCAUCUUCGGAGAAGGUUAAUUUUGAUGCUAAACAACGUGCUGAAUUGAUUUUAAAAAUGCAUGAGUUAACUAAGGAAAACAUUGAGCGUAUGAAUGCUAAAUAUAAACUUGCUGGAGAUAAGGGUAGAAAACAUGUUGUGUUUGCACCUGGAGAUCUUGUUUGGUUACAUUUGCGUAAGGAUAGAUUUCUUGAUUUGCGCAAAUCAAAGUUAAUGCCACGUGCUGAUGGUCCCUUUAAGGUGUUAGAGAAAAUAAAUGAUAAUGCAUAUAAACUUGAGCUGCCUGCAGAUUUUGGGGUUAGUCCCACUUUUAACAUUGCAGAUUUGAAGCCUUAUUUGGGUGAGGAAGAUGAACUUCCGUCGAGGACGACUUCAUUUCAAGAAGGGGAGGAUGAUGAGGACAUCAAUACAAUUGUUACACCCACAGCCCCUGCUGCUAUACAUAUUGGACCAAUUACUAGAGCUCGUGCACGCCAACUAAAUUACCAGGUACUUUCGUUUCCUGGUAAUGAUUCUAUUGUUCAUGAGAAUAUGAUGCUGCCUAAAUUGGAUACAUUUGUUUUGCUUACAAAUGAAGGGCCUAGCUUGGAGAAGGAUGAACAUUGGAGCAAGAACAAGCAUGGAGAUGAUGGCAUGCGCAAGGGGAACAAGAACGGAGUUACAAGUGAUGAUUUCAGGACUUUGAAGCCACCAUAAUGGGUGCAUGAAGCCUUGGACGAAAUAUACAAGAUGCCACUUCAUAAAUUUCGUCCCGAGGCUAUUUUAGGUGCUGCGUCACCUUAUUAUUGGGCCAGGCCCAUGUAACUUCGAAAUACAUAAGUAUAGGCUAUUUUUAGAGUCCGUAUGUGUGGGGAAACAAGAGAUAGGGUUGAUUUCGGACCCCUCCACCAAGGGCCACGAAAUUUCCCCCUCUUCCUCCAUAUAUACAGCCCUUAGGGCAUCGUUUAGACUUUGGGAUUUGUUUAGUUAAAAGUUAGCUAGUGCAACUUCGUGUACUUCGUUUGUGUCCAACGACCAGACCAAGACCGCUUACGGAUCCCCACCAUUAUCAAUACUUCAUAUAUAUUCGCAAUAUUCAGAUUGCUUUAUCAUAUUCUUGCUCGUUCUUCGAUUGCUUCCAGGAAUAGACCUUCGUGGUCAGGUUGAUCGUGCUCCAGCGUGGUCAAUAACCUCUCGGAGUUGGUUUAGCGAUUGCUAAGGCGCAACGUCGUGCACGUUUGUAGUCGGAUCGUCAAAGUCGUCUCCACCAAAUCGAUAGUUAUCAUCUCAUCGAAAGAUCGGGACACCCUCGCCUCUAUCACUGUUGUUGGUGCUUCUUUGGCUCCUGCUACUGCUGCUGCUGGUACCCAGGAGGAUGAUGAGUAUGCGGGCGAUUAUGAGGAUGAGGUUGAUCAAAAUCAGAACUACGUGCAGCCACCAGCACCACCACCAGCAGGUCGACCUCAGGUAUAUAUUCGUAAUGGUAGGCCUGCACCACCACCUCAGGUACGAGAUGAUAUCCAUAUUCCUAAACAAAAAAUGAAUAUUCCACCAUUUGAAGGUAGAUAUGUUGAUGAGGACAUCAAUACCAUUGUUACACCCACAGCCCCUACUGCUACAUAUACGGGACCAAUUACUAGAGCUCGCGCACGCCAAUUAAAUUAUCAGGUACUUUCGUUUCUUGGUAAUGAUUCUAAUGUUCAUGAGAAUAUGAUGCUGCCUAAAUUGGAUACAUUUGUUUUGCUUACAAAUGAAGGGCCUAGCUUGGAGAAGGAUGAACAUUGGAGCAAGAACAAGCAUGGAGAUGAUGCCAUGCGCAAGGGGAACAAGAACGGAGUUACAAGUGAUGAUUUCAGGACUUUGAAGCCACCAUAACGGGUGCAUGAAGCCUUGGACGAAAUAUACAAGAUGCCACUUCAUAAAUUUCGUCCCGAGGCUAUUAUAGGUGCUGCGUCACCUUUUUAUUGGGCCAGGCCCAUGUAAUUUCGAAAUACAUAGGUAUAGGCUAUUUUUAGAGUCCGUAUGUGUGGGGAAACAAGAGAUAGGGUUGAUUUCGGACCCCUCCACCAAGGGCCACGAAAUUCCCCCUCUCUUCCUCCAUAUAUACAGCCCUUAGGGCACCGUUUAGACUUUGGGGUUUUGUUUAGAUUAAAAGUUCGCCAUAGCUGCAACUUCGCGUACUUCGUUUGUGUUCAACGACCAGACAAAGGCGUCACAGAACCCCACCUUGAUCAAUAAAGCUUUCAUCUUAUAUUCGCAAUAUCCAGAUUGCAAUCUUAGUUUCUUGCUUGUUCUUCGUUUGCUCGCAGGAAACAGACCCUCGUGGUCAGGUUGAUCGUGCUCCGGCGUGGUCAAUAACCUCUCGGAGUUGGUUUAGUGAUUGCUAAGGCGCGACGUCCUCGCACGUUCGUAGUCGGAUCGUCAAAGUCGACUUCCACCAAAGCGAUAUCCAUCAUCUCAUCGAAAGACGGGACACCUUUGCCUCUAUCAAGUGGUAUCAGAUUUCCAGGUUGCUCGGUGAGAUUUUACAGUUUUUCGUAGUUUAGAU
rnacentral:lncRNA from 1 species